AGGGCGAGGCCUCCCUGCUUACUCCACCACCAUCGCCAUCGCCACCGCCGCCGCGCCACCAUCCCUUGUGUCAGCGCGGCUGCCAUCACUUCUCUCCGCACAAUAACCACCACCACCACCAUUUUAAUUAUCAUUCCCUUUUAUGCACUAGGUUUGCCCCUCAUCCUCGAAAAGGCCUAGAACCUCUUUGUUCUUAUUCAUCGCAAAACGACUUUAACUUGCAGGCUGAUGUGAAUAGAGAAACUGCUGCCUCUAUCGCCCAGGUGUUGCAAGAGCCAGCGCACAAUGGAUUAGAGGGCGAAGAGGAAGCAGAGGACCCAAUUUUUUUCUAACAGAUGAAUGGAGGGAAUUCUUUGUCAGAUCUGACGCUAAGAUAAAAUGAGAGAAACAGCAGGCUAAUAAGAAAAGACAAGCACUAGUGGGAAAAGCAAGGCAUGCCCUUGAUCUUGAACCAUCUAAUGCUCAAGCAUGACUAUGAUAGGAAUUCCUUCUCAAGAUCUAUGGUAGCACGUUUGUCUUCCAUUUUUCUCAUUCACAGGUCAAUCAUGUCACUUUUGGUAUCUCUGAUUUAUAUCUAUUGGAAAGGUAGCUGUUAGCUGUCACUUAUUUUGAAUUUAUUUAGAGCAUUUAUUUAGGAAUUUUUGUGU
rnacentral:misc_RNA from 1 species